UCCUACGGGACGCAGCAGUGGGGAAUAUUGCACAAUGGGGGAAACCCUGAUGCAGCAACGCCGCGUGAGUGAGGAAGUAUUUCGGUAUGUAAAGCUCUAUCAGCAGGGAAUAGAAAAGAAGGUACCUGAAAAAGAAGCCCCGGCUAACUACGUGCCAGCAGCCGCGGUAAUACGUAGGUGGCAAGCGUUAUCCGGAAUUACUGGGUGUAAAGGGUGUGUAGGCGGGGCUGCAAGUCAGAU
rnacentral:rRNA from 1 species